GGGCUCGUAGUCCAACGGUAGAACACCUGUCUUGCACACAGGAGUUCCGGGUUCGAUUCCCGGCGAGUCCA
rnacentral:tRNA from 1 species